GGCUGUGUGGUCUAGUGGUAUAAUUCUCGCUUGGGGUGCGAGAGGUCCCGAGUUCAAUUUUCGGCACAGCCC
rnacentral:tRNA from 1 species